AGCCAGAGGCUCAGGUUGGUGACCGAGCGGCAAAGUUCCUAGCGCCUGCAGUGUGAACUCCAACUUUUAGGCCAAGUUGAAAAUGCAGCCGACGACCCCCACACUUCUAACUUCAGAAUCAAAACUAUGACCCUAGGGAGUGAGGAGGAGAGUGAAAAAUGCGCUAGUGUGAGAAACACCAACGUCAGGCCCAUCUCAGAUCUUCACUAUGGCAACUCAUGCAAGAAACUGUUGAAUUAGACCCGUUUCCUAUAGAUGAGAAACCAUACAAGCUGUGGUAUUUAUGAGCCUCCAUUUCUUAUACUACUGCAGUGAACCAACAUUGGAUGUGAAAAUUGCCUUUUGUCAGGUGUGUGUUCCUUACAGGUAAAACAAGGGAUUCGAUAAACAAGUGGAUGUGUCAUAUAUUGCCAAACAUUACAACAUGAGCAAAAGCAAAGUUGACAACCAGUUCUACAGUGUGGAAGUGGGAGACUCAACCUUCACAGUUCUCAAGCGCUACCAGAAUCUAAAGCCUAUUGGCUCUGGGGCUCAGGGCAUAGUUUGGUAAGCGGAAUGGAUUUGCUGUAUUUUUAAAGGGAACAUCCCGUGUGCAACUACUAGACACAAACACACAAACAAACAAAAUCCUCAAAAUAAAUAGCAUAAUUUGGGAGGGAAAAAUAAUCCUACUGAAGAAAAAAAAAUAACAUCAUGAGCAUUACGUUUAUUACCCACUUGCUAACAAUAUAUACAGCUUGGCUUGUGACAUGUUUUUUUUGGUCACAGAAAAAAAGUUAUUACACAA
rnacentral:sRNA from 1 species